rnacentral:tRNA from 1 species
GAAGGUAUAGUUCAGGGGUAGAGUAUGUGCUUACCGUGCACAAGGUCCUGGGUUCAAUCCCUGGUACCUCCA